UACGGAGGAUGCGAGCGUUAUCCGGAUUUAUUGGGUUUAAAGGGUGCGUAGGCGGUUCGGAAAGUCAGCGGUAAAAUUGAGAGGCUCAACCUCUUCCCGCAGUUGAAACUGGGAGUCUUGAGUGGGCGAGAAGUAUGCGGAAUGCGUGGUGUAGCGGUGAAAUGCAUAGAUAUCACGCAGAACUCCGAUUGCGAAGGCAGCAUACCGGCGCCCAACUGACGCUGAAGCACGAAAGCGUGGGUAUCGAACAGG
rnacentral:rRNA from 1 species